AGAAGAAGUCCUUAUGGUGGUAUCUUUGUGGAAAAAAACAACUCUUCAUGUCUUAGAGGUCAGCUGUUCAGCUUGAGCUAUGGCUGUUCCUUCUAGUUCUCUUUUUAUGCCAUGGACUGACCUGGCCUGCUGACAAGACAAGCCUGCUUUCCUCUGGGUUACCAAGAGGCUCAAACCCCUUCCAGGAUGCAAUGCACCAAAACACUGGCUGGCACCAUCAGCAGGAUGUUACCGUGGAACUGUUUGGUGCCCAGUCUGACAGAGGUACCUCUGCUGGCCUCCCAUUGAUAGGGAUACCAAUCCUCUUGUAGCCUGGGAAAUCUGUGGGCAGCUUCUGAAGACUGUCUCCAUCUUAAGAACCACCCAGAAGUUUGGAAGAUCUUGUGUUUGAACUGUGAUCCCUGAGAUGAGAUCAAGCUUCAUGCUAAGAGUUGGCCUCCAUUUGAUGUGAACACUGAGAAGCUGCUGCAGGCUACCACUGAUUGGAAUUUACUUGUAUUAGUCUAAUUGCGUGCUCUGCCAUCAUCUGUUUGCAAUCACAAAGAGGAAGCUUCUGAAGCUUGGGAAUGAGGGAAAAUGAAGUGUCUUAACAACUACAAAACAUUGAGAAUGCUUUUGGAGGCUUUCCCAUCGAUUUCCAUCGGAUCCUCUGCUCUGAAGAGUAUCAUUGAGGAGCAGUUUGAGAUAAGCACAGGGACCAGAAGAGUAUAAAGAGCUCCUGAUGGCUGUCAGAACACAGUAGCACUUGGCCUAGAAGACAAACUGCCUUCCAGCCACAAUCCCUCACCAUGGCUGAUGCAGCGGUGACCUCCGUAGAUGGCAGCCAGCAGCAGAACCGCAGUGGGACCUGCAGCGAUACAAGGGCUGGCACUUUGGAUUGCAACAUGACUGAAAGGAAAAGCGUGAAGGCUACAGGAAUUUCUGCUCUAUGGAAAAAUGUUAUUUUUGGAGUCUUCGGGAAGGCGUGCAUAUAAACCCCCGGUUCCCUGGUAUCUGCUCCAGUCAGUGCUCCAUCCUCUUGUUCUCAUCCCACAUUGUGCCUGGAUAGCCCGACGGGCCAUAGGAGGCCUUCUGCUGUUUCCAGACAUCGGGACAGUUUUGCAUCCCUGUGCCAGGUCUGUGUCCAUGUACUGGUGGCUGGGAUGGCUGCCCAGCAGGGAGACGUCCUGCUGGCACCCAGGCUGCCUUAGGGAAGAAGCUGCUGCUUCUGAUCAUCUCUGAGGUGUUGGAGCCAGCAGUUUCCUGGACAGAGAUGUCUUCUCAGCACUAUUUAAGGAGUCUCAGAGGCUGCACCAUCCUUGGACUGGCUGAAUGUGACUACUUCUCCUCCCCAACCACUUCAUCUUGCACCAGCAUCUGCUUGUGAGAACCCUGGGAGCCAACCACUGUACUCACGUUGGAUCAGAAUGGACAACAAGGUUUGGGGAAACAUGGACAUCAGCCUUUGGUUAUGGCAAGAGCUAUGCAAAGAU